rnacentral:ncRNA from 1 species
GGGUGUGUGGGUGGGUAGGGGAGCGUCGUGUCGCGGGUGAAGCUGCGGGGUGAUCCAGUGGUGGAUGCGUCACGAGUGAGAAUGCAGGCAUGAGUAGCGAAUCACGGGUGAGAAACCCGUGCGCCGAUUGAUCAAGGGUUCCAGGGUCAAGCUAAUCUGCCCUGGGUAAGUCGGGACCUAAGGCGAGGCCGACAGGCGUAGUCGAUGGACAACGGGUUGAUAUUCCCGUACCGGCAAGUAGCGCCCAUGACGAGGCCGGUGAUGCUAACCACCCGAAGCUCACCGUGAUUGAUCCCUUCGGGGUGAGACGUGGUGUGGAGCGUGGGAUCCGAUCCGGUAGUAGUCAAGCGAUGGGGUGACGCAGGAAGGUAGCCCAGCCCGGGCGAUGGUUGUCCCGGGGUAAGCGUGUAGGGCGGGGUCUAGGCAAAUCCGGGCCCCUGACUUUGAUGUCGUGCUUGAGACGUGAUGCCGAGCCAUUUGUGGUGAAGUGGGUGAUCCUAUGCUGUCGAGAAAAACCUCUAGCGAGCUAUGCGCCGCCCGUACCCCAAACCGACUCAGGUGAUCAGGUAGAGAAUACCGAGGCGAUCGAGUG